rnacentral:rRNA from 1 species
GACGUAGGGCGCAAGCGUUGUCCGGAUUUAUUGGGCGUAAAGAGCGUGUAGGCGGCCAGGUAGGUCUGCUGUGAAAACUCGAGGCUCAACCUCGAGACGUCGGCGGAAACCAUCUGGCUAGAGUCCGGAAGAGGAGAGUGGAAUUCCUGGUGUAGCGGUGAAAUGCGCAGAUAUCAGGAAGAACACCCGUGGCGAAGGCGGCUCUCUGGGACGGUACUGACGCUGAGACGCGAAAGCGUGGGGAGCGAACAGG